GUGAGGAAUAUUGGUCAAUGGGCGAGAGCCUGAACCAGCCAAGUCGCGUGAAGGAAGAAGGAUCUAUGGUUCGUAAACUUCUUUUGCAGGGGAAUAAAGUACGGUACGUGUACCGUUUUGUAUGUACUCUGCGAAUAAGGAUCGGCUAACUCCGUGCCAGCAGCCGCGGUAAUACGGAGGAUCCAAGCGUUAUCCGGAUUUAUUGGUUUUAAAGGGUGCGCAGGCGGGUUGAUAAGUCAGCGGUGAAAGUUUGCAGCUUAACUGUAAAAUUGCCGUUGAAACUGUCGAUCUUGAGUGCAAAUGAGGUAAGCGGAAUGUGUUGUGUAGCGGUGAAAUGCUUAGAUAUAACACAGAACACCGAUUGCGAAGGCAGCUUACUGGGAUGCAACUGACGCUCAUGCACGAAAGCGUGGGGAUCAAACAGGAUUAGAUACCCCGGUAGUCC
rnacentral:rRNA from 1 species